rnacentral:rRNA from 1 species
UACGGAGGGUGCAAGCGUUAUCCGGAUUCACUGGGUUUAAAGGGUGCGUAGGAGGGCAGGUAAGUCAGUGGUGAAAUCUUCGAGCUUAACUCGGAAACUGCCGUUGAUACUAUCUGUCUUGAAUACCGUGGAGGCGAGCGGAAUAUGUCAUGUAGCGGUGAAAUGCUUAGAUAUUGGGAAGAACACCGAUGGCGAAGGCAGCCAUCUGGACCAACACUGACGCUGAGGAGCGAAAGCCAGGGGAGCAAACGGG